CCCUGGGAUAGCUCAAUCAGUUGAGCAUGAGCCUCUUAACCUCAGGGCCAUGGGUUCGAGCCCCAGGUUGGGCA